GGCUCCGUAGCUCAGAUGGAACAAGAGCGUCGCUCUACGAAAGCGAAGGCCGCGAGUUCGAGUCUCGCCGGAGUCA
rnacentral:tRNA from 1 species